CGAUGGCUCCGACGUGGCGCCGCAAAACUCCAUCAGGCCGGAAACGGAGCAGUGGUAUGCGGAUGUACGGGUGGGGCCAUUUUUU
rnacentral:SRP_RNA from 1 species